rnacentral:SRP_RNA from 1 species
GAUGGUGACCCUUGCGAUGGGGAACCGCGAAUUUGGUCAGGCCUUAACUGGAGCAGCCAUAAGCGGGGUACCUUUGUGCAGGGGUUGCCAUCCGG